rnacentral:lncRNA from 1 species
GGGUGCUGGGGUGUGGGGUGGGUGGCACAGGCCUUAGUCUGUGGGAGGCUCAAGGAGGGCACUGUGUUAAGGCGGAGGCUCUGCAGGAGAAACUGUGCACAAAGCAGGGAGGCAACCCUGGGGGAAGAGGCAUGCUACUUGGGGCUGACAUCAGAGAUGGAGGUGGUGGCCAAGGAGGAGGCCAAUGUGGAGUGGUAGCAGGAGGACGAGCAGACAUAUCCUGGCCCUGGCCCUGGUACACCCCGGCCGGCAACGGAAUUGCUGGACGUCCUUCACCUGGAGCUGGGCUCCGUGAAUGCCACAGGCCACAGGCCCAAGCUGGCCGGGAUCACAAAUGAUGAUGAAGUCCUUCUAAGCUACAUGAUGGAUUUGCAGGUCGGGAAGGAAGUCACCCAUCCCAGGUACCGGCAGCAGGAUGAAGUUUUCUUUUCAUCACAAACUAUAUUUCCACAAUGACGUGAUCAUUCAGGAGACACAGGAUGUCUCAUUCCCUGCAGUCUAGUGGUCGUGGGAUCAUGAAGGUCAAGCCUCCAGCUGUAGGCAGUACAGCUCCUACCUGAGCUUCUUCAGCUGGUUGGCUGACCAUGACUGCCCAGGUUCUAGCAGGAUUACUGAGAUCAUCAGCCAGGGCCUGUGGCUCAAUCUCUUGCAGUACUUCCGGA